UACGUAGGGGGCAAGCGUUGUCCGGAUUUAUUGGGCGUAAAGAGCGUGUAGGCGGCCAUGUAGGUCCGUUGUGAAAACUCGAGGCUCAACCUCGAGACGCCGAUGGAAACCAUGUGGCUAGAGUCCGGAAGAGGAGAGUGGAAUUCCUGGUGUAGCGGUGAAAUGACGCAGAUAUCAGGAAGAACACCCGUGGCUAAGGCGGCUCUCUAGUACGGUACUGACGCUGAGACGCGAAAGCGUGGGGAGCGAACAGG
rnacentral:rRNA from 1 species